ACUACGGGAGGCUGCAGUGGGGAAUAUUGCGCAAUGGGCGAAAGCCUGACGCAGCGACGCCGCGUGAGGGAUGAAGGUCUUCGGAUCGUAAACCUCUGUCAGCAGGGAAGAACGGUCACUGUGCUAAUCAGCAGUGAAUUGACGGUACCUGCAAAGGAAGCACCGGCUAACUCCGUGCCAGCAGCCGCGGUAAUACGGAGGGUGCGAGCGUUAAUAGGAAUUACUGGGCGUAAAGCGAUCGUAUGCGGUAUGUCAAGUCAAGGGUGAAAUCCCCGCGCGCAACGUGGGAACUGCCUUUGAAACUGGCAAACUGGAGUGUGUGAGAGGAUAGUGGAAGUCCAGGUGUAGGAGGGAAAUCCGUAGAUAUCUGGAGGAACAUCAGUGGCGAAGGCGACUAUCUGGCACAUAACUGACGCUGAGGAGCGAAAGCGUGGGUAGCAAACAGGAUUAGAUACCCCUGUAGUC
rnacentral:rRNA from 1 species